AACAGGCCAAGGCCAGAUGCAGCCACAGGCAGGAGAAAUACAAGAACUUUAAGAUUUCGGAAAAGAAGAAAGCUCCAGACCAACUGCAAUAGAAGCAAUGAGCAGAGCAAGUGCUAAACUGGAAAAGGAACUGCCAGUUAAGAAAAACGAUGAUGCAAUGGUAUCAGAGAUAAUGAAUCUUUUCAUAUGUUUGCUUGUCUGCAGAAGCGGCUUGCCUUGGCUUUCAUAUUUUUACAUGGGGAAUUCUUUUCCAGGAGGAUCCAAGUAGGUGGGAAGCCAAGAAGCUCUUAACCAUGUUCUGCUGUCGAAGGACAUACAAACCAAGUCUCCAAGGGGAUAUGCUGCUAGUUUGAUUUUUAAUGUGUG
rnacentral:misc_RNA from 1 species